UACAGAGGGGGCGAGCGUUGUCCGGAAUCACUGGGCGUAAAGGGCGCGUAGGCGGCUUGAUAAGGUUGCGGUGAAAGCCCGGGGCUCAACCCCGGGUCGGCCGUGGCAACUGUCGAGCUGGAGCACUGUAGAGGCAGGUGGAAUUCCGGGUGUAGCGGUGGAAUGCGUAGAGAUCCGGAGGAACACCGAAGGCGAAGGCAGUCUCCUGGCAAGUUACUGACGCUCAGGUGCGAAAGCUAGGGGAGCGAACAGG
rnacentral:rRNA from 1 species